GUGGAGGCGCCUACGCAUGUGGGCGUGUCAUUCCGGGGAGUGUCUGUGUUCAGCCAAUCAAACCUUAGAAGUGAGAUCGGUGGGCGUGACCACUCCGCCCACACUACCCUGUCCCAGCUGCAGCAUGCUUUUGUUCAAACUCAGAAGUGAGACAGUCGGUCCUCAACAGAGGUGCACUUUUACAUUACUUACCCGAUGAGUUCAUAAAACGCUGACAACAACAGUGUCUCUCUUGUCGAGCGCAUUGAAUUUGAUGUAUUUUUAACCAGCAGGGUACCAGUUUUGGAAACCAAAUUAGUUUCUGUUGGACUUUGGUCGCAUGCCGUUGUUCAAACAGGCACAGCAAGGUGUCGCGAGCAACUGGAGUGCUGGAAGAGAAGAGAAGAGGAAUUUUCCUUGAACUAGUUCUUUGUCGGUUUUGUUGGAGUGUGACUGCUGUCAUGUACACUUAGACAUUUUACAUGUUCUUUGACCGAGAAGAGAGAGUAAGCUUAUGCUACCCUUCAUCCUCCUCGCUGGAUAUCUAUGGAGAGGGUGUCCUCCUGUAUGCUCUCUCGCAGCUCUUGGAGUUACUUGCGGCCGAAGCAACACCGCAGGGCUUUAAUUUGCUCGGACGGGACUAUGGGGAGAAAGAGGAGGAAGAGUCUUUUGAAUUGCGCAACAAGGAGGACUUAACUCCCAAUGGACGGAGUCCAGCUGAGGUGACUGUUUCUCAACCAACUCGAACAGCCAAUGGAACAAAUGGGCACACUGUGUCAGAGUUGUCUGAUGAGAUGAAGAGCCUGAUCAUUGAGAAGAAUAAGAUGGGCCUGGAGGAAGACCCUGAGCUGCUGGUCAAAGGUAAGUUCGACUCAUACAACAAACACAGCACAUAACACCAACAUUACUCUGGUAUUCCUUCAACUGAGUGAAUAUACCUGCUAUGUUCAGUUGUGGUGAACAUUGUUAUCCAGCUGAAACAAUAGGUCAGUUGGCCAAAAAAUUUGAUCAGCAAUUUAUUACUUAAGCAAAAAUGCUAACUCAUUCACUAGUUCAGCUUCUUAAAUGCAAGAGUUUUCUGGUUUUUUUUUUUUGUUUUCUAUUAAUGCAAAUUGAAUAUCUUUGUAUUUUGGACUGUUGGUUAGACAAAACAUGCAAUUAGUAGACGUCACCAAAGGGCUCUUAUAGACUAAAAAUGUAAUAGAUUCAUUAGAAACUAUCCAUAGACGAAUCAAUAAUGAAAAUAAUCUUGAGUUGCAGCACUACUUCCUUCAGUUAAUGAAUGAGGUCCUUGUGGGCCUUGGUUGGUGGUGGUCAUUUUAUUAAGUAUAGUAUAUAUUUCAUUACCCUAAUUGUCUCCUAAUAAGUACUGUCGCAGCUCCAUGCUGCGCGAUCGCCCCGUAGUGAACCCCUCUCUGACCACAUGUGGCCCACAGCUGCUCCCACUCGCCCACUCCUGCUCUGUGUGUUCAUGUAAGGAUAGCUACUGGCAUCAGGAGCGCCGUCUUGGGUGUCUGAUGCUUUUGAGGAAUGAUCUCAUAAGAUAUUUCUGUGUGUUUUUUUUUUUUUUCUUCUUUUUUUUCUUCUUGGCCUGCUACUGAAAGGGAGCAGUAAAAUGCCAGCACUUGGAUAAGUUACGUCCUGUUUGGAAUGGCGGCAGUCAGAUUGCCUAAUUCUGACAGCAGUUACUAUGCACCCUUGGCUAGUGCCCCUCCCUCACUGCUGUCCCCCUCUCCUUCCCUGUCUCACUGUUGGAGGAGCUACUUUUUCUGGGGGGGCCAUUGAUUACACUGUUAUUUGGGAUUUCAGCUUUUGCACCACGCCCCCAUCCUUCAACCAAUCACAAUAUUAUAGCCACCAUAACAGCAGGACACCUCAGGGCCUUUUAUAAUCCCUCUCAUUUCUCUCUGUUUGUUGCACAAGGAUAUGUUUUCAACAGUUCCUCCAUUAGGGCCUUUCUACUUGUUCUGUAUGUUUGUUUGUUUUUUUCAGCAGGACAUGUUGAGGCUAUAUGGGGUUAAUAUUGCCCCAGUAUCUACAAUAGGCCACCAACAUUGUAGAUAUAGACUGGUAAUGGAAGGAUGACUUGUAAAAGCCAUGGGGCGGCGGCGACAGAAAGAGAUGUUAAAACAUUGGUUUCCUGACAUACCUUUGUUGAUUUACUGUUAAAAUUAAUUUCUCCUCAUGUGAUGCACAGCCUCUCAUGUUCUGUUUGAUCCGAAAGGAGGAAGAAAGUGCAGUUGAGUUUCUUGUACAUAAAUGUAGAGUUCAGGUCCAGUUUAUGCUUCUGUCUUCUUUUAAAGUGCUUUUUCAUUAUUUAAGUCCAUUUGCAUUUUUAAAAUUCUGAAGUAUAAAUUCAUGAACAGCCAACUGACAACAUUAGAGCAAGGUGAAAAAAUAUCUUUUAAAAAAACCCCUAAAAUUUUAGUUUAAGCCAAUGUUUUUUGUUUUUUCAUGUUUUGACCUUUUUUUGUGAAAUGCCAGCAUGCAUAUGCCUGCAGAACAGUUUUUUGAAACAUGUGCAGUACUCUGGGAUUGACAGGAGGCUUGCAGUGAAGAGAAAGAAAUACACAGAGAGAGAUUGUUUGCUCAAUCUGUG
ensembl:lncRNA